rnacentral:rRNA from 1 species
AAUCAACGCUGGCGGCGCGCUUAACACAUGCAAGUCGCACGAGAAAGUGGAGCAAUCCAUGAGUACAGUGGCGUACGGGUGAGUAACACGUGGGUAAUCUACCUCUUAGUGGGGAAUAACUCUGGGAAACCGGAGCUAAUACCGCAUAAGCCUGGAAAGGGAAAGCAGCAAUGCGCUGAGAGGGGAGCCCGCGGCCGAUUAGCUAGUUGGUAGGGUAAAAGCCUACCAAGGCAAUGAUCGGUAGCCGGCCUGAGAGGGCACACGGCCACACUGGCACUGAAACACGGGCCAGACUCCUACGGGAGGCAGCAGUGGGGAAUCUUGCACAAUGGGGGCAACCCUGAUGCAGCGACGCCGCGUGAGCGAUGAAGCCCUUC